rnacentral:rRNA from 1 species
GACACAGGUGCUGCAUGGCUGUUGUCAGCUCGUGUCGUGAGAUGUUGGGUUAAGUCCCGUAACGAGCGCAACCCUUGUCCUUAGUUACCAGCACGUUAUGGUGGGCACUCUAAGGAGACUGCCGGUGACAAACCGGAGGAAGGUGGGGAUGACGUCAAGUCAUCAUGGCCCUUACGGCCUGGGCUACACACGUGCUACAAUGGUCGGUACAAAGGGUUGCCAAGCCGCGAGGUGGAGCUAAUCCCAUAAAACCGAUCGUAGUCCGGAUCGCAGUCUGCAACUCGACUGCGUGAAGUCGGAAUCGCUAGUAAUCGUGAAUCAGAAUGUCACGGUGAAUACGUUCCCGGGCCUU